rnacentral:misc_RNA from 1 species
AACACUGUUAACCUGCGGUACCUGCGGAAGGAUCAUUACCGAGUCUUCGUACUCAAAACAACCCUUCUGUGGACCUGAAUAAAACCGUUGCCUCGGCAGGCGGCCCUACCUACGGGCCAGAUAGUUCGGCUGCCUCCAGGGAGGAAACCCUCCCUGAGGUGCUGGCGCCAGCUGCUGGCCCCAAACCAAAACUCUAGUAACUUUUACCUUCUGAGUUUUAAUGCAAGAAAUAAGUCAAAA